rnacentral:lncRNA from 1 species
AUGUGUUUUCACAGAAACCCAGGCCCAGGGAGAACAUUUACCCCUCUUCCUACAUUUCAGAGCUGAAAAUGUCGGAAUUGUCAUGGUAAUGCCCAUAGUUGAUGUGACAGAUACUGAGAAGGAAAAACACGCUUGCCACAUGUGAAAACUGCCUGGUUGGUUCUGCUCUGAGUGCCUCUCUGGAGGGCACAUUGAUGGAUUUGACAAUCACUUAAUUCUACUAGAGCCUGACCUUCAGUCUGGAAGUCAGAUAUACGCAGCAGAGACGUAGAUGAUAGCCGCAGGCUGCUGCUGGUGGGAAGCUGACAGAGUCCACUUUAAAGGACUGCCUUCAGUACCAUCUACAUUCUUCUACCUGGGACUGUGUGUGGCCAUGCGGACAGGCUCUCACCUUCACUAAACAAUUCAACUGCUGAAUUCCAACUAUCACGACAACCAUUUACACCAGUAAAAUGAACCAGAGAAGUCAGUGUAUCAGAACCUAAGACGGGAAAACUCUAUUGGAUUUCCUUUUACCUUAACUCUUAGUCCCUGCUUGCAGCUGAACCUCGGAGAGCAAUCAGCAUUCAAUGUUCUGUAGUAUAAGGAUCCUCCAGCAGAUCAUCUCUAGAGCUAGCUCUGACUUCUGCUCCCAGAGUCACCAUGGUGGUUAAGUAUGAAUUUGAUGGUCAUCUGGAAUCAGAUGCCGUUUCCAGCAGUUCUUCUAAGAAAAUAAAACUGAACAUUUACAGCCUCAAAAGUGAUAAAUCUCACUCUCUCCUCAUGGCUGCAAUUCCUCCGUGGUUCCGGCUGAUUUGAACCUCUCUCCAUCUCUGUGCUCCUUUCCCUGGCUGGUGGAAGUUCUGCCCCAUUCCCUUUUCUGCCCAGCCAUUGGGUGAUCGUCAUUUAUUGACAAGGCAGAGAAUAAAUGAAUUACAUGUGUCUGUGUUGUCUCCCCAGAGGCAGAGACGGAGAUUGACUGAACCACCAUUCAGAUGGUGCUAUUAAAUUCCAGGAGGUACUUCUGGUGGUGAGUUCUCCAUCACCACUCAGCAUUCCUAGCCAUCAGUCACUGGUGAACGAGGAGAGAGAGGGUGGGGAGAGGGGACCUGACAUACCACAUUCUGUUCAGCUCAUGACUUAGAGCUGAACAGCAGCGUGUGCUGGUACAGGGGCAGAUGAUCUGAUUCUGGCACUGGGAAUCUGUGUUUUAGGCAUCACUUUUAUAAUUUAAGUAAAACUGAGGAUUCAAAAA